rnacentral:tRNA from 1 species
GCGGGAAUAGCUCAGUUGGUAGAGCACGACCUUGCCAAGGUCGGGGUCGCG